AUUGAACGCUGGCGGCAUGCUUUACACAUGCAAGUCGAACGGUAACAGGCCGCAAGGUGCUGACGAGUGGCGAACGGGUGAGUAAUGCAUCGGAACGUGCCCAGUCGUGGGGGAUAACGCAGCGAAAGCUGUGCUAAUACCGCAUACGAUCUUUGGAUGAAAGCGGGGGACCGUAAGGCCUCGCGCGAUUGGAGCGGCCGAUGUCAGAUUAGGUAGUUGGUGGGGUAAAGGCCUACCAAGCCGACGAUCUGUAGCUGGUCUGAGAGGACGACCAGCCACACUGGGACUGAGACACGGCCCAGACUCCUACGGGAGGCAGCAGUGGGGAAUUUUGGACAAUGGGCGCAAGCCUGAUCCAGCAAUGCCGCGUGCAGGAAGAAGGCCUUCGGGUUGUAAACCGCUUUUGUACGGAACGAAACGGCCUGGGUUAAUACCCUGGGCUAAUGACGGUACCGUAAGAAUAAGCACCGGCUAACUACGUGCCAGCCGCCGCCGUAAGAC
rnacentral:rRNA from 1 species